rnacentral:rRNA from 1 species
GUGAGGAAUAUUGCGCAAUGGAGGCAACUCUGACGCAGCCAUGCCGCGUGCAGGAAGAAGGCGCUACGCGUUGUAAACUGCUUUUAACCGGGAAGAAACCCCAGGACGUGUCCUGGGUUGACGGUACCGGAGGAAUAAGCACCGGCUAACUUCGUGCCAGCAGCCGCGGUAAUACGAAGGGUGCAAGCGUUAUCCGGAUUCAUUGGGUUUAAAGGGUGCGUAGGCGGAGCGUUAAGUCAGUGGUGAAAUCCUGCAGCUUAACUGUAGACUUGCCAUUGAUACUGGCGCUCUUGAGUGCGCUUCAAGUGGGCGGAAUGUGCCGUGUAGCGGUGAAAUGCUUAGAUAUGGCACAGAACACCAAUUGCGAAGGCAGCUCACUAAGGCGAUACUGACGCUGAGGCACGAAAGCGUGGGGAUCGAACAGGAUUAGAAACCCUGGUAGUCC